rnacentral:rRNA from 1 species
UACAGAGACUGCGAGCGUUAUUCGGAUUCACUGGGCGUAAAGGGUGCGCAGGCGGCCAUGUGUGUGAGGCGUGAAAGCCCGGGGCUCAACCCCGGAGGUGCGGCCGAAACUGAUGUGCUGGAGGCCGGAAGAGGAGGGUGGAAUACCCAGUGUAGAGGUGAAAUUCGUAGAUAUCGGGAGGAACACCAGUGGCGAAGGCGGCGACCUGGGCAGAUACUGACACUGAGGUGCGAAAGCGUGGGGAGCAAACAGG